rnacentral:lncRNA from 13 species
GCAGGCAGCUGCUACUGCUCCUGGGCUGGAGGAGCUUACAGGGACAGUUGUGAUAUCCAGGGCCCCAAGCCCACAGCCAGGCUAGAGCUGCCCUUGAUGGGGCAGGACACUUUGGAGUCUGGGAUUGCUCCCUGUUCCUGAUAGCCAAUGGCAAUCCACGGCCCAGCCCUCCUGCCAAUACCUCUGCCAGAAACAAUUGCGCAAGCUUCCUCCCACCUUCUAAUCUCAUGGAUGCCUCCCAUGGGCGGAACACAAUCACAAUCCAACUGUCAGAUCCAUCUGACUUCUGCACUGGCUACCCUGAGGAUGUAAUAAGAAUGGCCACUUGGCGAGUACUGUUGCUCACACCUGUAAUCCCAGCACUUUGGGAGGCCAAGCUGGGAGGAUUGCUUGAGCCCAGAAGUUUGAGAUCACCGUGGACAACAUAGCAAGAACUCAUGUCUACAAAAAAUUAGCUGGGCAUGGUGGUGUGCACCUGUGGUCCCAGCCACUUGGGAAGCUAAGGUGGGCUAUUGCUUACGCUUGGGAGGUGGAGGUAGUGAGCCAUGAUCAUGCCAUUGCACUUCAGCCUGGGCAACAGAGCGAGACUCUAUUUCAAAUAAACAAACAAAACAAAAUGAUUACUUGUAGAAG